rnacentral:rRNA from 1 species
GGCUCAGGAUGAACGCUAGCUACAGGCUUAACACAUGCAAGUCGAGGGGCAGCAUUGGGAUAGCUUGCUAUUCAGAUGGCGACCGGCGCACGGGUGAGUAACGCGUAUCCAACCUUCCCUAUAGUAGAGAAUAGCCCGGCGAAAGUCGGAUUAAUGCUCUAUGUUGUGUUUUGAGGACAUCUGACGAACACCAAAGGUUCACCGCUAUAGGAUGGGGAUGCGUCUGAUUAGCUUGUUGGCGGGGUAACGGCCCACCAAGGCGACGAUCAGUAGGGGUUCUGAGAGGAAGGUCCCCCACAUUGGUACUGAGACACGGACCAAACUCCUACGGGAGGCAGCAGUGAGGAAUAUUGGUCAAUGGGCGAGAGCCUGAACCAGCCAAGUAGCGUGCAGGAAUGACUGCCCUAUGGGUUGUAAACUGCUUUUAUCAGGGAAUAAAGUGCGGCACGUGUGCCGUUUUGUAUGUACCUGAUGAAUAAGGACCGGCUAAUUCCGUGCCAGCCGCGGC